UACGUAGGGUGCAAGCGUUGUCCGGAAUUAUUGGGCGUAAAGAGCUCGUAGGCGGUCUGUUACGUCGGCUGUGAAAACCUGGGGCUCAACCCCGGGCCUGCAACCGAUACGGGCAGACUAGAGUGCUGCAGGGGAGACUGGAAUUCCUGGUGUAGCGGUGAAAUGCGCAGAUAUCAGGAGGAACACCGGUGGCGAAGGCGGGUCUCUGGGCAACAACGUGACGUGGAGG
rnacentral:rRNA from 1 species